AACAUCUUUUGCAUUAGCAGAGAACUAUGAUCUCUUCUCUCAUCCCAGAAUAGCAUGUAAGAAAUUUUUGAAAUUACUGAAACCCAGAACACCAUCUGCUUUUACACAGACUGUGUACACACCAUACACUUAAAGCAUAUUUCCCCAGCUGCCCAGAGCCUAUUUGGGGGUGGGGCAAGCCUCACCUAGUGCAAAGCAAACUCUCAUGUGGAUUGGCUCCAUUGCUUCUGAACUGCUGGCACAAAGUCAACUAGAUCUCAGUCCUAGUCUGCAGGCUUGUAAUUUAUUCAGGUCACAUCCCAGUGCUGCUUCAUCUGAUGCUGCUGUUCCUUGCCACAGUAUGUUCAAGGUGCUUUUUAUAAUCCCCAUCAGGAACAAAGCAGAAUUGCCAAUCUCAUUCUUAUACAGUCCUGUGCUCCCCCCACUUUCCCCCCUUUUCUUUUCAGUCCUCUCCUCCUUUUCAGUCCUCUCCUCCUUUAUCUACAGAUUUUGUAAAAAAAUUAAAUGCACAAGUAUAUUACCUUUACUGCUGCCCCUUCCAAUAUUCCCCUGGCCUUUGCAUGCAAGGCCAGGGGAAUAUUGUGGGUUGUGGGUUUCUUUUGUGAGGCCAGUAAGGUGGGGUGGUGUUUUUUUUAAGGUACCCCUUUUGAGAGUCUUUCUCUCCUUUUGCAGGUGGGUGUGUAGGAAAAGAACUUUGCUUAAACAUUCAAAGUGUCCAUGAGAGCCAAGGGGAUAAAAACGCUUUGAGGAAAUUGAUGCAUUAAUUAUCCAUCUGCCCUAUCCUGCUCUUAUACAGAAAAGAUUAUCCUAUUUCAAUUCCUGGCAUGCUAGGGUGGUAGUGUAACUCAAUUAGCAAAUCAUGAUUUGAUUAACGUAGCUUGCAAGUUUAAGGGUGCUUCCAAAUGACCUGUUUAUUGAGCAUUCAUCCUGAUUUGUUUGGAGGGAGAUUAGACAACAUUGGCUGUUUCAUGAGAAUUCAUUCUGAUUUGUUUAUGGGGAUAUUAGAUGAUGUGGCAGCAAAGCAACUGUUAUCCCAUACUUUCCAAUGCAUUUUCAUCACUUUCCUUAUGGCAAAAAGUCAUUUCUUUUGGGAAAGUGGGUUUGUUGCCUAAGACAUCUGAAUCAACUAUAAUUGCACAACCUGAAUGUGCAGGUAUGUGAUUGAAACACACCUGAAAGGAGUGAGAGUCUGGAAGUGCUCAGUCUGUUUAGCUAAUGUUAUUGAGUUAUUUAAAUAUUUUUGGUUUGUUGCUUUAAGUGUACAAAUGCAGCAUAGGCUAUAAAAUAUAUAAAGGAAAGAAUUUGCUAAUAUAUGUAUAUGCAAAUCAACUUAUUAAAGGUUAUCUUUCAGUUGAGAGUAUUGCUUGCUGAGUUCUAAAGUAUAGAUUCUUCAAAACCAAAACAAGGAAGGCAUGAUUAUAGAUGUAGAUGGCGAAAGUUGGGGUAGAAGAAGAAAAGUACAAGCUCAGGAAAGCAGUAGGCCAUUAACAUCUUAAGUGGUUUUAUUCACUCUUGUAAUCUCUAGAGCAGUUUUAACUUUCUAUGACACGAUACCACAGUAUGUUAUCUCAGAGGUUCUUCCCAAGUUUCCUUUGACAAACACAGAUGCACAGUCUUACCUUAAGCUGCCUAAAAAAUUAAUGCUGGGGAAUGCACCUGUCUGUUUUGGGAAGGAAACGUGAGGACAUGGACCUUUAAAAGAUGGGCAUGCAGUCACAUUUCUAAAUACAUAAUCUUGUUGAAUGGUCACUUUAAAAUGUGAAGGUUCAUUAUUGUUUCACAAGUUGUGUAUGUCUUUAAGGGCCAGGGCAAAUAACAAGACCCAGUCUUACAGCUGUGAAACAUAGCAGGUGCUGCUAGGUUGUGUUAAUUAAGCUGUGUCAGCAAUUGGGUAGAGUAUAUAAAGAGCAGCACCUAGCGAUCUCAUCACCCUGGGGGAUGGGUUGGUGGUUGGGUCAUGUUUUUUGUUGUUGUUAUCUUUAGUGUAAAAGGAGUUUUUGUUUUUGUUAUUAAAACCUUUUUAAAGUUAUUUUGAGUUCCUUGUUAUGCAUGGUCUCCCCAGCAAGCUCUCUGCUGCGCUACUAAACUGCAAAUAGCCAACAAAUCUGCCUCCUGCAAAUUUAAGCACAUAUCUAAUUUUGCCCUGUCCUCUCAAGAAGGGAGCAAAGCAUUGGAAGAGGAGUCAGGCUCAAGGAAGAUAAGUUUAAGCAAAGUGUAUGCUUGGAGCUAUGUAAUACCUGCCUUCUCUAUGUCUGCAGCCCUGUUGAGCACACCAACCAGGGCAGAAGGGGAAGCAAGCAGGAAAAUCACUAUGCCAGUUUGGAACUGACAUAGUGAUCAAGCCCAAAGCAUGAUGGUAAUGGGGCUGGCUCAGGGUCCAAUGGAUACUGGGCUAUCUCUACUCCUCCUUGCCCUUGGGGAGAGCCCACUGGCAGUUUUUCAACAUUCAGUUUCAGCAGGUGGAAUAGAGAGCUACAUACUGGUGGAGUUCCACUAGUGCCAUUUUGUAGGCAGAGGCUAGAAGGACUGGUUAGGAGGACAUCUGCACCCAGUCUAAACCCCCAAGCCAACCUGGUAUAAAGGGAGUUUGGAUUGUGCCCUGAUGCCUGAAGUUUGUCACAUCUCAUGAACUUCACUUGUCUUCAGGACAGGACACCUUGGCAGUUAAAAAGAAAAUGAACUUUCAUGAGACUAAAAAUCUGAGUGCAUUUCUUCCUGCUUCAUUCUUCUGCCCAGAAAAAUAUAUAGGAGAAAAGAUAGAUCUAUAUCUUCUCCUCCUCUCUGAUAACACCCCCCACCCACAAAGCAGUAGAGGGAUUUUGAGCAAAAAUGCAGAUAAUUGGGGAAGUAUUAAGCACCCUCUCCCAAUCUUGCUGGCCACUUGAUCAAAUUCUCAGGUUGCAGAGGCUACUUUAGCUUU